rnacentral:tRNA from 1 species
UAUAGUGUGACAGAUAAAUGUGGUAGAUUUAAAAUCUAUGAAUAAAGUUUUACUUUCUCUAUAU